rnacentral:rRNA from 1 species
GAUGAACGCUGGCGGCGUGCUUAACACAUGCAAGUCGAACGGAAAGGCCCAAGCUUGCUUGGGUGCUCGAGUGGCGAACGGGUGAGUGACACGUGGGUGAUCUGCCCUGCACUUUGGGAUAAGCCUGGGAAACUGGGUCUAAUACCGGAUAGGACCAUCGUUUAGUGUCGGUGGUGGAAAGAUUUUCGGCGUGGGGUGAGCUCGCGGCCUAUCAGCUUUUUGGUGGGGUAAUGGCCUACCAAGGCGUCGACGGGUAGCCGGCCUGAGAGGGUGUACGGCCACAUUGGGACUGGGAUACGGCCCAGACUCCUACGGGAGGGAGCAGUGGGGAAUAUUGCACAAUGGGCGCAAGCCUGAUGCAGCGACGCCGGGUGGGGGAUGACGGCCUUCGGGUUGUAAACUCCUUUCGCCAAGGACGAAGCGUUUUGUGACGGUACUUGGAGAAGAAGCACCGGCUAACUACGUG